rnacentral:rRNA from 1 species
AGAGUUUGAUCCUGGCUCAGAACGAACGCUGGCGGCAUGCCUAACACAUGCAAGUCGAACGAAGGCUUCGGCCUUAGUGGCGCACGGGUGCGUAACGCGUGGGAAUCUGCCCUUAGGUUCGGAAUAACAGUUAGAAAUGACUGCUAAUACCGGAUGAUGACGUAAGUCCAAAGAUUUAUCGCCUAGGGAUGAGCCCGCGUAGGAUUAGCUAGUUGGUGUGGUAAAGGCGCACCAAGGCGACGAUCCUUAGCUGGUCUGAGAGGAUGAUCAGCCACACUGGGACUGAGACACGGCCCAGACUCCUACGGGAGGCAGCAGUGGGGAAUAUUGGACAAUGGGCGCAAGCCUGAUCCAGCAAUGCCGCGUGAGUGAUGAAGGCCUUAGGGUUGUAAAGCUCUUUUACCCGGGAUGAUAAUGACAGUACCGGGAGAAUAAGCCCCGGCUAACUCCGUG